rnacentral:misc_RNA from 1 species
GGGCACCGGNCGGCCUAUGGAACCACCGUUGUGUGCUCCGUGCAUUACGUCGAAGGCAANUACGCCCUCUAAUCAAUCCGUAACUUGNUCGGGUUGGNGGGGCUUGACAAGACAUCAAGCCUUGGNGGUUUACACGAACGANNAAGCGAUGAUGCCCCGUUUAGGAUGACGAAUCGUGAAGCGAUGAUGACUCANAGUGCCCCUACGUGAAAUCGUUAGCGUAAACCGCCCGCAUUUAGUUGGUUGCGUCU